CCUACGGGAGGCAGCAGUGAGGAAUAUUGGUCAAUGGACGAGAGUCUGAACCAGCCAAGUAGCGUGAAGGAUGACUGCCCUAUGGGUUGUAAACUUCUUUUAUAUGGGAAUAAAAUGUUCCACGUGUGGGAUUUUGUAUGUACCAUAUGAAUAAGGAUCGGCUAACUCCGUGCCAGCAGCCGCGGUAAUACGGAGGAUCCGAGCGUUAUCCGGAUUUAUUGGGUUUAAAGGGAGCGUAGAUGGAUUGUUAAGUCAGUUGUGAAAGUUUGCGGCUCAACCGUAAAAUUGCAGUUGAAACUGGCAGGCUUGAGUACAGUAGAGGUGGGCGGAAUUCGUGGUGUAGCGGUGAAAUGCUUAGAUAUCACGAAGAACUCCGAUUGCGAAGGCAGCUCACUGGACUGCAACUGACACUGAGGCUCGAAAGUGUGGGUAUCAAACAGGAUUAGAUACCCCGGUAGUC
rnacentral:rRNA from 1 species